UACGAAGGGGGCUAGCGUUGCUCGGAAUCACUGGGCGUAAAGCGCACGUAGGCGGAUCUUUAAGUCAGGGGUGAAAGUCCUGGAGCUCAACUCCAGAACUGCCUUUGAUACUGGGGAUCUCGAGUCCGGGAGAGGUUGGUGGAAUUCCGAGUGUAGAGGUGAAAUUCGUAGAUAUUGGGAAGAACACCGGUGGCGAAGGCGGCGACCUGGUCCUUUACUGACGCUGAGGCGCGAAAGCUAGGGGAGCAAACGGG
rnacentral:rRNA from 1 species